GCGAGACUGCUUCCUUCCUUCCUCUCUUGCCAGUCCGCCCGUCUUCUUACCCCUCCUCCCCGCUAGGCCUCCCCUCCUUCCCCUGCCGGCCCCCUCCCCGCAGGGAUAAUAUGGUCUCCGGCGAUGGACGCCCCAAGUGCAGGAUACGCCUUUGAGUACCUUAUUGAAACAUUAAAUGACAGUUCACAUAAGAAGUUCUUCAAUGUAUGUAAACUUGGAGGCACCAAGUAUGACAUUCUGCCUUACUCAAUACGGGUCCUGUUGGAAGCUGCUGUACGAAAUUGUGAUGACUUUUUAAUGAAAAAGAAAGAUGUUAUGAACAUUUUAGACUGGAAAACCAAACAAAGCAAUGUUGAAGUGCCCUUUUUCCCUGCCCGUGUUCUUCUUCAAGAUUUUACUGGAAUACCGGCAAUGGUGGAUUUUGCUGCUAUGAGAGAGGCAGUGAAAAUUCUUGGAGGUGAUCCUAAGAAAGUCCAUCCUGCCUGUCCGACAGAUCUUACAGUUGACCAUUCUUUACAAAUUGACUUCAGUAAAUGUGCAAUACAGAAUGCGCCAAAUCCUGGAGGUGGUGACCUGCAGAAAGCAGGAAGGCUCUCUCCACUUAAAGUGCAGCCUAAGAAGCUUCCCUGCAGAGGCCAGACUACCUGCCGAGGAUCGUGUGAUUCUGGAGAACUAGGUCGAAACUCAGGAACAUUUUCUUCGCAGAUUGAGAAUACACCCAUCCUGUGUCCUUUUCAUUUGCAACCAGUGCCUGAACCUGAAACAGUGUUAAAAAAUCAAGAAGUAGAAUUUGGCAGAAAUCGAGAGAGGCUUCAAUUUUUCAAGUGGAGUUCAAGAGUUUUUAAGAAUGUAGCUGUAAUCCCUCCUGGAACUGGAAUGGCUCAUCAAGUAAACUUAGAAUAUUUGUCAAGAGUGGUUUUUGAAGAAGAGGACCUCCUCUUUCCAGACAGUGUAGUUGGCACAGAUUCACAUAUAACCAUGGUGAAUGGUUUGGGAAUUCUGGGGUGGGGGGUUGGAGGCAUUGAAACAGAAGCAGUUAUGCUGGGUCUGCCAGUUUCUCUUACUUUACCAGAGGUGGUUGGAUGUGAGUUAAGUGGGUCAUCAAAUGCUUUUGUUACAUCCAUAGAUGUUGUUCUUGGCAUUACAAAGCACCUCAGGCAAGUAGGAGUGGCUGGAAAGUUUGUUGAGUUUUUUGGAAGUGGAGUUUCACAGUUAUCUAUAGUUGAUCGAACUACAAUAGCAAACAUGUGUCCAGAAUAUGGUGCUCUCCUCAGCUUUUUCCCUGUUGACAAUGUGACACUAAAACAUUUAGAACAUACAGGUUUUGACAAAGCCAAACUCAAGUCAAUGGAAACAUACCUUAAAGCUGUGAAAUUGUUUCGAAAUGAUGAGAAUUCUUCAGGAGAACCUGAAUACUCCCAGGUGAUCCAGAUUAAUCUGAAUUCAAUAGUUCCGUCUGUCAGUGGUCCAAAAAGACCUCAGGAUAGAGUUGCUGUGACAGAUAUGAAAAGUGAUUUCCAGGCUUGCUUAAAUGAAAAGGUUGGAUUUAAAGGCUUCCAAAUUGCAGCUGAAAAACAAAAUGAUAUCGUCUCUAUUCAUUAUGAAGGAAGUGAAUAUAAGCUGUCUCAUGGAUCAGUGGUCAUUGCUGCAGUUAUCAGUUGUACCAAUAAUUGUAAUCCAUCUGUCAUGCUUGCUGCAGGUCUUUUGGCUAAAAAGGCUGUUGAAGCUGGUCUGCGUGUUAAACCUUAUAUAAGAACAAGUUUAUCUCCAGGCAGUGGGAUGGUUACACAUUACCUCAGUUCAAGUGGAGUAUUACCGUACCUUAGUAAGCUUGGAUUUGAAAUAGUUGGUUAUGGAUGUUCAACAUGUGUGGGAAAUACAGCACCCUUAUCAGAAGCAGUUUUAAGUGCAGUAAAACAGGGUGAUUUGGUUACCUGUGGAGUUUUAUCUGGAAACAAAAAUUUUGAAGGUCGCCUUUGUGAUUGUGUUCGUGCCAAUUAUCUUGCCUCUCCACCCUUAGUGGUAGCUUAUGCCAUAGCGGGCACAGUGAAUAUAGAUUUCCAGACAGAGCCUUUAGGUACUGACCCUGCUGGCAAAAACAUUUUCCUGCAUGACAUUUGGCCUAGUCGAGAAGAAGUUCAUCAGGUAGAAGAAGAGUAUGUUAUACUAUCCAUGUUUAAAACAUUAAAAGAGAAAAUAGAGAUGGGAAAUAAACGGUGGAGUUCCUUAGAAGCACCAGAUUCAGUUUUAUUUCCAUGGGACUUAAAAUCUACUUAUAUCAGAUGUCCUUCAUUUUUUGAUAAACUUACCAAAGAGCCAGUUGCACUCCAGCCUAUUGAAAAUGCCCAUGUCUUACUAUAUUUGGGAGACUCUGUCACUACAGAUCAUAUAUCACCUGCUGGAAGUAUCGCGAGGAAUAGUGCUGCCGCUAAGUAUUUGACAAACAGAGGCCUUACCCCUCGAGAAUUCAACUCUUACGGAGCCCGAAGGGGUAAUGAUGCUGUGAUGACAAGAGGUACUUUUGCAAAUAUCAAGCUUUUUAAUAAGUUUAUUGGAAAGCCAGCUCCCAAAACAAUUCAUUUUCCAUCAGGACAGUCGCUAGAUGUAUUUGAGGCUGCAGAGCUGUACCAGAAAGAAGGUAUCCCGCUGAUUAUUUUAGCAGGAAAAAAAUAUGGUUCAGGAAACUCAAGAGACUGGGCUGCCAAAGGACCAUAUUUACUGGGUGUAAAGGCUGUUUUGGCUGAAAGUUAUGAAAAAAUACACAAAGAUCAUUUGAUUGGAAUUGGCAUAGCUCCACUUCAGUUCCUUCCAGGAGAAAAUGCAGAUUCCCUGGGCCUCUCUGGCAGAGAAACAUUUUCUUUAACAUUUCCUCAAGAACUGUCUCCUGGGAUUACAUUAAAUAUUCAGACAAGCACUGGAAAAGUAUUCAGCGUGAUUGCUUCAUUUGAAAAUGAUGUGGAAAUAACAUUGUACAAACACGGAGGAUUAUUAAACUUUGUGGCACGAAAAUUCUCAUAGUAUCUACUCACCAUGGAUACCUUUUGUAACUGGUAACUGCAAAGCCUUUUGUGCUGGACCCAGGAAUCCUUACCAUGGAGCUGCAGAUAGUCCCAGUAUACUCACUUAUCUCAUCCAUGGAUGUAAAUGAUUAUGAAUCAACAUAGUGACUGAAAUGAAAUCUUCUUGAUUUUAAAUAAUAUACGAAUGGUGCUAUUAACAUUGCUAAAAUCAACGUGUGAAGUGUGUUGUGGAAGAGACCUGUUUAGAAGAUAAUAAGAUACUGGAUGUUGACCCUAUCUUAGUUUGAUUUGGAGUAAUAAAGAGAGGAGAAGGGGAUGGACUUUGGCUUUUUCAGUCAUUUUUUCCCCCAUAAAGGGUGGUAAUGUCAAUGUUUAUAUCAAUUUUACACGUAAUACGUGGCUAUGAAACCAUAUAUCUCAAGUAACUACAAAUCAUUGUCUAUUAUUUAAAGCCAACAAAACAGUGUAACAGUUUUAAGUUCAAUAAUGUUAAGUAUUGUAUAGAAAUAUAUUGGAGGCAAAUCCAGUUGAUGACAAUUGUGUAUAUGUUACUGAUGCUGUAAAUUAUUUUUAAUAAAGAAAAUUGUAUUAUCA